rnacentral:rRNA from 1 species
GACGAACGCUGGCGGCGUGCCUAAUACAUGCAAGUCGAACGAGAGCGAUCGGUGCUUGCACUGGUCAAUCUAGUGGCGAACGGGUGAGUAACACGUGGGUAACCUGCCCAUCAGAGGGGGAUAACAUUCGGAAACGAAUGCUAAAACCGCAUAGGUCUUCGAACCGCAUGGUUUGAAGAGGAAAAGAGGCGCAAGCUUCUACUGAUGGAUGGACCCGCGGUGCAUUAGCUAGUUGGUGAGGUAACGGCUCACCAAGGCCGUGAUGCAUAGCCGACCUGAGAGGGUGAUCGGCCACAUUGGGACUGAGACACGGCCCAAACUCCUACGGGAGGCAGCAGUAGGGAAUCUUCCGCAAUGGACGCAAGUCUGACGGAGCAACGCCGCGUGAGUGAAGAAGGUUUUCGGAUCGUAAAACUCUGUUGUUAGAGAAGAACAAGUGCUAGAGUAACUGUUAGCGCCU